UACCUGGUUGAUCCUGCCAGUAGUCAUAUGCUUGUCUCAAAGAUUAAGCCAUGCAAGUCUAAGUACGAGCUCUCGUACAGUGAAACUGCGAAUGGCUCAUUAAAUCAGUUAUGGUUCAUUUGAUCGUACAGUUUACUUGGAUAACUGUGGUAAUUCUAGAGCUAAUACAUGCGAGAAGCGCCGACCUCGCGGGAGGCGUGCAUUUAUCAGACCAAAAACCGGCCGCGUCUUCGGGCGCGUUCGCCUUGGUGACUCUGGAUAACUUUGCGGAUCGCACGGUCUAGCACCGGCGACGGAUCA
rfam:Ciona savignyi cont_45902, whole genome shotgun sequence.